rnacentral:rRNA from 1 species
GAUGAACGCUGGCGGCGUGCCUAAUACAUGCAAGUCGAGCGAACAGACGAGGAGCUUGCUCCUCUGACGUUAGCGGCGGACGGGUGAGUAACACGUGGAUAACCUACCUAUAAGACUGGGAUAACUUCGGGAAACCGGAGCUAAUACCGGAUAAUAUAUUGAACCGCAUGGUUCAAUAGUGAAAGACGGUUUUGCUGUCACUUAUAGAUGGAUCCCCGCCGCAUUAGCUAGUUGGUAAGGUAACGGCUUACCAAGGCAACGAUGCGUAGCCGACCUGAGAGGGGGAUCGGCCACACUGGAACUGAGACACGGUCCAGACUCCUACGGGAGGCAGCAGUAGGGAAUCUUCCGCAAUGGGCGAAAGCCUGACGGAGCAACGCCGCGUGAGUGAUGAAGGUCUUCGGAUCGUAAAACUCUGUUAUUAGGGAAGAACAAAUGUGUAAGUAACUAUGCACGUCUUGACGGUACCUAAUCAGAAAGCCACGGCUAACUACGUG